AAAAACAUGUCCUUUUGUUUAUUAAUUUAAGGUUUAACCUGCCCAAUGAGGAAUUCAAUGGCCGCAGUAUUUUAACUGUGCUAAGGUAGCAUAAUCAUUUGUCUUUUAAUUGAGGGCUGGAAUGAAGGGUUGGACGAGGCAUUAGCUUUCUUUGAUUUAAUUUAGGAAUUUAAUUUUUGAGUUAAAAAGCUUAAAUUUAUUUAUGGGACGAGAAGACCCUAUAGAUCUUUAUGGUUUUAUGUUUUAAUAAUUUAGGGAUUUAUAUAUUUUAAGCAGAUGAAUUAUUUUGUUGGGGUGACUGUAGAAUUUAAAUAACUUCUAUUUUUUAUUUUCAUUAAUUAAUGUUUUUUUGAUCCAUAAUUUAUGAUUAGAAGAAUAAGUUACCUUAGGGAUAACAGCGUAAUUUCCUCGGAGAGUUCAUAUUGAUGAGGGAGUUUGCGACCUCGAUGUUGGAUUAAAAUAAGUUGUGGAUGCAGGAGUCUAUUUACUAGGUCUGUUCGACCUUUGAAUUUUUACAUGAUCUGA
rnacentral:rRNA from 1 species